CCUUCAGGUUCAGAAUGUCCAAUUCCCAAAAUGUCCAACGGUUUCAAAAUGUCCAAUUCCCAGAAUGUCCAAUUCCCAAAAUGUCCAAUUCCCGAAAUGUCCAAUUCCCGAAAUGUCCAAUUCCUGAAAUGUCCAGUUCCCGAAACGUCCAAUUCCCAAAAUGUCCAAUCUACUAUUAUGAUGGGUUUGUUAAAUAAGUCCUCAUAGCCUUUCUUAAAAAUUAGUAAUUAAUAUAUUUCUGUACGAAUGCGUUUAGUUUUUGCAAAAUCGGCAUAUAAACAUAGAAAAUUUUUGUAUUUGUAUUUGCAAAAAGUACGUAGAAAAAAAUUGUAGCUACUGCACUUUGUACUCGUACAAGUAUGUAUAGUUAUUUAUAUUUUUUCUUUUGACCUAAAAAGGAAAGAAUAAUUUGUAAAUAAAUAAAUGAUUAUUUAAAUUUAAGUAUGGUUAUUUAUUAAAUAUUUUUAGGAAGCCUAUGAGGACUUAUUUAACAAACCCAUCAUAAUAGUAGAUUGGACAUUUUGGGAAUUGGACGUUUCGGGAACUGGACAUUUCAGGAAUUGGACAUAUUGGGAAUUGGACAUUUUGAGAAUUGGACAUUUUAGGAAUUGGACAUUCCGGGAAUUGGACGUUUUGAAACCGUUGGACAUUUUGGGAAUUGGACAUUCUGAACCUGAAGGAAAGAUUUGUGUCAUUUAGAACCUAGAAAGUAUUUUUUCGGCACUGUUGCUCUAACGGCGAACAAUGUAUGGAGAACGAACAUUGUCCAAAAGUGGGAAUAACACUGAAGAGAAUUUUAUUAAUUUCCUUCAAAUUUAAUGGUUAAAAUGGUUUAUAAAUGGUGUGUAGUGCCGCAUUGUACAAAUACGUCUAUAAAGGAUCCAAAAAAAGUAUUUGUUUCUGUACCAACGAAUCCCAAGAGACGGAAAAUGUGGUUACAAUUAGCUAGAAGAGACCCAAAUUGCAUGUUAACGCAUACAAAUGUGUUUAUGUGUGAAGAUCACUUUAAUAUGGAAACUGACACCAAGAACAUGUAUAAAAUGGGCUUUAGUCAAAAGAUACUUUUAGCAGAUGAAGCCGUGCCAACUAAAUUUGAUUGCCAAGAGGAUCGCAAAAGACGGCUGUCCGGUGAAGGAUCUUCUCGAAAAGUAUUCCUUAAAAGGCAAAGAACUGAUCUUAUUACAGAAUGUCUUCAAAAUCAAAGUGUUACUGAAACUGAAAGAUUACAAAAAGAUGAAGUUAUGAUACAAAUGAUUGAACCUGAAGAAUUACCAAGAACUCAAGACAAAGAAAGUAUCACCAAUCCUAUUAUAACUCUAGAAAAAUCUGUUCAAGUAUCAACUAAAGUGAUAAGGCAUUAUAGGAGCAAAGCUGUUCAAACAAUAUGUCAGAAUAAAAGUAUUUCCACCUCCCCAUUUAAAGUUUCUACAACAUCUCGUUUCACCUCGCCUUUUAAGCCUGAAUCAUGCCGUCUUCAAGUAUCACAAUCAGGAGCUGUUAAAGUAUUUAAAAGAAAUAUUGGCCUUGAAGAUGAAAAAUCUGAUAGUGAUAUUUCUUUGUUUGAAAGUGGUCAUUCAUCUCCUUUUAUACCUACAUCAUGAUCAAAGGUUACUGAUUCCGAUAGUAAUGUGACUGAUACCAAUGAAAAUA